rnacentral:rRNA from 1 species
UAAGGAAUAUUGGUCAAUGGACGCAAGUCUGAACCAGCCAUGCCGCGUGAAGGAUGAAGGUCCUCUGGAUUGUAAACUUCUUUUAUCUGGGACGAAAACGGGAUUUUUAUCUCAAUUGACGGUACCAGAGGAAUAAGCACCGGCUAACUCCGAGCCAGCAGCCGCGGUAAUACGGAGGGUGCGAGCGUUAUCCGGAUUUACUGGGUUUAAAGGGUGCGUAGGUGGGCUUAUAAGUCAGUGGUGAAAUCUCCGAGCUUAACUUGGAAACUGCCGUUGAUACUAUAGGUCUUGAAUUAUCUGGAGGUAAGCGGAAUAUGUCAUGUAGCGGUGAAAUGCUUAGAUAUGACAUAGAACACCAAUUGCGAAGGCAGCUUACUACAUAUAAAUUGACGCUGAGGCACGAAAGCGUGGGGAUCAAACA